rnacentral:misc_RNA from 1 species
GAGUAUUGCUCAAGGGGGGGUUUGCUGCUGGCUUAGGCAUGUGCGCACCCUUCGACUUCUAGUUUGCAUACACCUUGUGCACCAUUGGUGAGCGUCCUCCCAUUUGGAGCCGUCUCGCAUGACCUCUUCGGAGGGAGGGCGGGACUGAGGGAGGGCGCUCCCUUCAUGUAUACAUCUGCAGCCUGUUUUAAACGCAUGUCUGAUGCCCCUGAGGGGACGAAUGUAAUA